rnacentral:rRNA from 1 species
GAUGAACGCUGGCGGCGUGCUUAACACACGCAGGUCGAGCGAAGCAUUUUAAAGGAAGUUUUCGGAUGGAAUUUAAAAUGACUGAGCGGCGGACGGGUGAGUAACGCGUGGGUAACCUGCCUCAUACAGGGGGAUAACAGUUAGAAAUGACUGCUAAUACCGCAUAAGCGCACAGUGCUGCAUAGCACAGUGUGAAAAACUCCGGUGGUAUGAGAUGGACCCGCGUAUGAUUAGGUAGUUGGGGAGGUAACGGCCCACCAAGCCGACGAUCAGUAGCCGACCUGAGAGGGUGACCGGCCACAUUGGGACUGAGACACGGCCCAAACUCCUACGGGAGGCAGCAGUGGGGAAUAUUUGACAAUGGGGGAAACCCUGAUCCAGCGACGCCGCGUGAGUGAAGAAGUGUUUCGGCAUGUAAAGCUCUAUCAGCAGGGAAGAAAAAGACGGUACCUGACUAAGAAGCCCCGGCUAACUACGUGCCAGCCGCCGCAGUAA